rnacentral:misc_RNA from 1 species
CCAAACUUGGUCAUUUAGAGGAAGUAAAAGUCGUAACAAGGUAACCGUAGGUGAACCUGCGGUUGGAUCAUUACUGAAUCACCAAGCCCCUGGUUUCACCGGGGCCGCACGACAUUCUUGUACAGCAGGCUCGUUCGUUCUUUUUAGUUUAGCUUUUUUCCUGCCUGGUGUACAAGAAUGAUAAGUGUGGGGUCAUUUCCUAUUUGGAAUGUCCUUGGUUCAAUACCUAAAAACCUCUUGUGAACUGUCUUGUCUUUGGCGGCGGGGUGGGCAUAAGUGGCUAACAUUGUAAGAUGUUAGUCCACCCACCUGUCAGCUCGGAGGCCUCUUCUAUUGAGAGGUUGCCUUGCCGUGGACAAACCGCCAACCAUGUCUAAACAUGUCAUGAUAUCAUUGUCUUAAAUCAAUCUGUCGUAAAUACAGAAACAACUUUUGGCAACGGAUCUCUUGGCUCUCGCAUCGAUGAAGAACGCAGC